rnacentral:rRNA from 1 species
AGCGGCGGACGGGUGAGUAACACGUGGGUAACCUGCCCAAGAGACUGGGAUAACACCUGGAAACAGAUGCUAAUACCGGAUAACAACACUAGACGCAUGUCUAGAGUUUGAAAGAUGGUUCUGCUAUCACUCUUGGAUGGACCUGCGGUGCAUUAGCUAGUUGGUAAGGUAACGGCUUACCAAGGCAAUGAUGCAUAGCCGAGUUGAGAGACUGAUCGGCCACAUUGGGACUGAGACACGGCCCAAACUCCUACGGGAGGCAGCAGUAGGGAAUCUUCCACAAUGGACGAAAGUCUGAUGGAGCAACGCCGCGUGAGUGAAGAAGGGUUUCGGCUCGUAAAGCUCUGUUGGUAGUGAAGAAGGAUAGAGGUAGUAACUGGCCUUUAUUUGACGGUAAUUACUUAGAAAGUCACGGCUAACUACGUGCCAGCAGCCGCGGUAAUACGUAGGUGGCAAGCGUUGUCCGGAUUUAUUGGGCGUAAAGCGAGUGCAGGCGGUUCAAUAAGUCUGAUGUGAAAGCCUCCGGCUCAACCGGAGAAUUGCAUCAGAAACUGUUGAACUUGAGUGCAGAAGAGGAGAGUGGAACUCCAUGUGUAGCGGUGGAAUGCGUAGAUAUAUGGAAGAACACCAGUGGCGAAGGCGGCUCUCUGGUCUGCAACUGACGCUGAGGCUCGAAAGCAUGGGUAGCGAACAGGAUUAGAUACCCUGGUAGUCCAUGCCGUAAACGAUGAGUGCUAAGUGU